rnacentral:rRNA from 1 species
UAUUGAAGCCUGACAUGAGCGACUAAUAAAUAAUCAUGGAGUUCCGCCUUCUACAGGCAGGACAACACCGUUGAAAUGCUGUGAUCAACUAUUGUUGUACCAGCAGCCCCUUUUAAUGGGGCCCACAGAUCAAGCCGCGGUGAUCCACCUAACAUUAAUUAGGUAGGACUAUAAUAUGACCGGUCUCGCCUGAGAAUGGGCUGAGAGAAUACGUUCCGUAGGUGAACCUGCGGAAGGAUCAUUAUCGAGUUAGGGUCUUCUAGGCCCGACCUCCAACCCUUUGUUUACUAUACCAUGUUGCUUUGGUGGGCCCGCCUUUUGGGGCCGCCGGGGGCUUUCAUACCUCUGGUCAGUGCCCGCCAGUAGCCUUCUUAAAUUCUUUUAUAACUGUGUCGUCUGAGUACAAAUAUAAAUCGUUAAAACUUUCAACAACGGAUCUCUUGGUUCUGGCAUCGAUGAAGAACGCAGCGAAAUGCGAUAAGUAAUGCGAAUUGCAGAAUUCAGUGAGUCAUCGAAUCUUUGAACGCAUAUUGCGCCCUUUGGUAUUCCGAAGGGCAUGCCUGUUCGAGCGUCAUUAUCAACCAUCAAGCCUAGCUUGUCGUUGGACCUCUUUGUGGUUGAAAUAUACUACAGGUCCGAAAAAUAAUGACGGUGUCGUGUUUGACCCUAAAUGCAACGAGCUUUUUAUAGCAAGCAUUGAAGUGGUCGACCGAUCCAGUCUUAACCAUCAUUUUCUAAGGUUGACCUCGGAUCAGGUAGGAAUACCCGCUGAACCUAA